rnacentral:pre_miRNA from 1 species
UCCCUACCUAUGUGUGUAGGACCCCAAAUGAUUACCAUUAAAGUUGGUACGGAUCUCUAAAAAAGUUAUCAUAUAGGUGUGAGACUUGACUUUUUUAUAGAUCUGUGUCAAAUUUAAUGGUGAUCUUUUGAGAUCCUACACACAUAGGUGGGAG